AUCCCACGGUAGGUGGUGGUAGUGAACCGGUAAAUAGUUGGAUUGCUCGCCAGAAACCCAACCAGGCAGGCAGACUGUUGUUACCAUGCAACGAGCAGACGCUUGUGAAAAGUACUAGCUACAAAAUUGGCUAAAUGCCUGCUGCUGUAUACAUAGCGCGCGUGUGUAUGUUGCUAACCUAGCUAGUUAGUUAGCCAUUAAUAAAGUUCCUAACGUUACAUCAUGGCAGACGGCUGGAGCACCGACAUCGGAGAGGCUGCCUAUCGUUCCCGGGAUGCUGUCAAAAACCUUACAAUUAAGAUCCGUAUUCAGAGAGUCACCUUCGCAGCAGCCCUCUCUCAACACCUUCAGCAGCAGGUUUUUGACUCAACAGGAGAGGGGAGGCAUUGAGCUGGACACCCUCAACUCACAGGCUCAAUCAGCUGGAGAUGGUGAGGAGGAGUUAGUGGUAGGCAGGCAGGAGAAGCUGUUCAGUCAGGAUUCCCAGAGUAUGGUGAUGCAGGUCAAGUCCAACCCUACCUUCCUGGCACAUAGGAUGGCCAAUGUCAGACACAGACGACAUGACAGACACCCAGUUGACAGCACCGUCCCCAAGUCCAGGCUGAUUACCUGGGAGCCCUCGAAGGACUUUAUGAAGAUCAGCUACGUGGUCAACACACCUGUACAGACCAUGCACAUCAUGGGGGACCUGGGACCACCAGGCAAACUUGGCCAAAACGAGAAGGAAUGCUUGUUGUGCACGAUAAGAGCAGAUGGAAAUGGAGUGAUUACCAUCAAACCAGACUUAAACAAAGUUGUUUCAUCAGCAAAGGUCAUCUCAAGUCUGAUUUUAUUUGUCACAUGCCGAAUACAACAGGUGUAGUAGACCUUACAGUGAAAUGCUUAUUUACAAGCCCUUAACCAACAAUGCAGUUUAAGAAAAAUAAGUGUUAAGUAAAAAAUAAUUAUUUUGGACCUAGACUUGGUGCUCCGGUACCGCUUGCCGUGCGGUAGCAGAGAGAACAUUCUAUGACUAGGGUGGCUUGAGUCUUUGACAAUUUUUAGGGCCUUAUUCUGACACCACCUGGUAUAGUGGUCCUGGAUGGCAGGAAGCUUGGCCCCGGUGAUGUACUAGGACAUACUCACUACCCUCUGUAGUGCCUUGCAGUCAAAGUCUGAGCAGUUGCCAUACCAGGCAGUGAUUCAACCAGUCAGGAUGCUCUCGAUGGUGAAGCUGUAGAAUUUUUUGAGGAUCGAGGACCCUAGAGGUGCCCCCGUGUUGAGGAUCAGCGUGGCGGAUGUGUUGUUACCUACCCUUACCACCUGGGGGCGGCCCGUCAGGAGGUCCAGGAUCCAGUUGCAGAGGGAGGUGUUUAGUCCCAGGGUCCUUAGCUUAGUGAUGAGCUUUGAGGGCACUAUGGUGUUAAACGCUGAGAUGUAGUCAAUGAAUAGCAGUCUCACAUAGGUGCUUAUUUUGUCCAUGUGUGGAGUGCAAUAGAGAUUGCAUCAUCUGUGGAUCUGUUGGGGCGGUAUGCAAAUUGAAGUGGGUCUAGGUUUUCUGGGAUAAUGGUGUUGUGAGCCAUGGCCAGCCUUUCAACGCACUUCAUGGCUACAGAUGUGAGUGCUACGGGUCGGUAGUCAUUUAGGCAGGUUACCUUAGUGUUCUUGGGCACAGGUACUACUAUUACAGACUCCGACAGGGAGAGGUUGAAAAUGUCAGUGAAGACGACUGCCAGUUGGUCAGAGCAUGCUCGGAGUACACGGCCUGGUAAUCUAUCUGGCCCUGCGGCCUUAUGAAUGUUGACCUGUUUAAAGGUCUUACAUAGGCUGCGGAGAGCAUGAUCACACAGUCAUCCGGAACAGCUGAUGCUCUCAUGCAUGUUUCAGUGUUACUUGCCUUGAAGCGAGCAUAGAAGUUAUUUAGCUCGUCUGGUAGGCUCGUGUCACUGGGCAGCUCUCGGUUGUGCUUCCCUUUGUAGUCUGUAAUAGUUUGCAAGCCCUGCCACAUCCGACGAGCGACGGAGCCGGUGUAGUAUGAUUCGAUCUUAGUCCUGUAUUGACACUUUGCCUGUUUGAUGGUUCAUCGGAGGGCAUAGCGGGAUUUCUUAAAAGCUUCCGUGUUAGAGUCCCGCUCCUUGAAAGCGGAAGCUCUACCCUUUAGCUCUGUGCGGAUGUUGCCUGUAAUCCAUGGCUUCUGGUUGGGGUAUAUACGUAUAGUCACUGUGGGGACGACGUCAUUGAUCCACGUAUUGAUGAAGCCAGUGAUUGAUGUGGUGUACUCCUCAAUGCCAUCGGAAGAAUCCCAGGAACAUAUUCCAGUCUGUGCAAGGAAAACAGUUCUGUAGUUUAGCAUCUGCUUCAUCUGACCACUUUUUUAUAGACUGAGUCACUGAUGCUUCCUGCUUUCAUUUUUUCUUGUAAGCAGGAAUCAGGAGGAUAGAAUUAUGGUCAGAUUUGACAAAUGGAGGGCGAGGGAGAGCUUUGUACGCAUCUCUGUGUGGGGAGUAAAGGUGGUCUAGAGUUCGGUUUUUCCCCCCUCUGGUUGCACAUUUAACAUGCUGGUUGAAAUUAGGUCAAACUGAUUUAAGUUUCCCUCCAGUAAUGUCCCCGGCCACUAGGAGCGCUACCUCUGGAUGAGCGUUUUCCUGUUUGCUUAUGGCGGUAUUCAGCUCAGUGAGUGCGGUCUUAGUGCCAGCAUCGGUCUGUGUGUCGACAGCUAUGAAAAAUAUAGAUGGAAACUUUCUAGGUAGAUAGUGUUGUCUGCAGCUUAUCAUGAGAUGCUCAGGCGAGCAAAACCUUGAGACUUCCUUGGAUAUCGUGCACCAGAUGCUGUUCUAUCCUGCCGAUAGUGUAUAACCCGCCAGCUGUAUGUUAUUAAUGACGUCGUUCAGCCACGACUCUGUGAAGCAUAAGAUAUUACAGUUUUUAAGGUCCCGUUGGUAGGAUAUAUGUGCUUUUAGUUCGUCCCAUUUAUUUUCCAGCUAUUGUACGUUGGCUAACAGUACGGAUGGAAAAGGCAGAUUAGCCAUUCGUCGCCUGAUCCUCACAAGGCACCCCGAUCUCCUUCUGCGAAAUCUACAUAUUUUUUCCUACGAAUGACAAGGAUGAAGGCCUGUUCAGGUGUCUGGAGUAAAUCCCUCUCGUCUGACUCAUUACAGAAAAAUUCUUUGUCCAAUUCAAGGUGGGUAAUCGCUGUUCUGAUGUCCAGAAGCUCUUUUCGGUCAUAAGAGACGGUAGCAGCAACAUUAUGUACAGAAUAAAUUUCAAACAAUGCGAAAAAACUAACAAAAUAGCAUGGCUGGUUAAGAGCCAAUAAAACGUCAGGCAUCCUCUCUGGCGCCAGUACAACUUUAUAAGUCCAUGUUACGGGGAACAAAGAUAAUUUGUUUUUCUGAAGGGUUUGGUCACAGAUCUGCCAGUUCAGAUCAAAUUCCACAUCUUGUUGCCUGCCUCAGGACUCAAACCAGUGACCUUUCAGUUACUGGACUAAUUCUCUAUCUUCCACCUUCUAACUUAUUUUUUUAUUUCUCAUUUAUUUAACCAGGUAGGCUGGUUGACAACAAGUUCUCAUUUACAACUGCGACCUGGCAUCGGCGUCCUAGGCAAAGUUCCCUUUACACUAUCCCAUGUGCGUGUCUCAUGAUCUGUUAAUGAAGUAGUCCUGCCUGUAAGUUUAAUAUCAGUGUCACCCUCAGCUCAGGAGGGCAUUACAUCUUGGUCUAAUGGUCAAGCCACUGGUUUUUCCCAUGGGAGGCCCGGGUACAGAUCCUGCCCAUGAAAUAUGCACACCUCUCCCAAAGCAAAAUUCCACUACCACCAAUGUAGUGUUUUUUUUGCAAACAGCAAUGGUGUAAUGCCCCUUUUGUCUCAAACCCGGGUCUCCCUGCCCGUAGGCAAACAAAUAUAUUUUAGUGAAUUCAGGAGUUCGCCCCAAACAGGUUUUGAACCUGGGUCCAUCAACUGUCAAGCCAACACCUUAAGUGCUACGCCAAGAUGCCCAAACCUUUCGUUGAGGUCGCUCGGUGUUGGAUUAAGGUUGCUACAUUACCUCCUUCCUUGGGGAGAGCAUGCCCCCACACUUCUUUAUAGCAAGUCUCUCACAUGUACACAUCUUUGAUGGCUUCACAGGCACUAUCCCACUUCUGAUACCAAUGUAACAAAUUUGGGGGUAGCUCCAACUGGGACUUGAACCCCGGUCCAGUGACUAGCAAGCCAACACCUUAUCCAUUACCUCAAGAGAUCAGAAGGUGUUAAGUGUUGGGUUAAGCUUGCUACAAUAUAUACUUAUAUAGGGCAAUGUGUGAUCUGGGUGAGGCAGCAUUGCCACUAGUGCUCCCAACACAGCCAAACACCUUCUUAACCUUACCUAACCUAAAGUCAAAUACAUUUAGACAAACCACCAUGUGAGCAGCAAGUUUAGGGUUAAUGGAGUGAAGUUGGUGAUGGGUAGGACCACCAGUAUGAACUAUAUGUCUAUGAAGGUAUUACAAACGGGAUGGAUGCUCUUCAUCAACACCAUCUUUUCUGUGAAACUAGAUAUCAGCAAUCAAUCAACAAGACUAAUGAAAUGGAGCAAAUGAAGACGUUAGAUCUGCUAAAGUUUCCCCUAGAUACAGAUCUAGGAUCAGCUUCCCCUCCCCAAACCCAACAAGGACCACUAGCGGGGGGAAUUCAAACCUGAUCCAAAGCCAGGGUCUAUUUGGGGAACUUGUCCCAUCCCCCACAACUCUACAUGUGGAUGCGGCUUUCUCCAGCUCACCAUGCUCACAAAGAAAACAGCAGUGCAUUUCAGCUCUCCCGCUCUCCUCAGUCCGAGAAAACACUGAGAGAGAAAGAUCAACAUAAAAGCCUAAAAGACAGCCGUGGUGUCGCUCUUCAUUUCUUGGUUCUCCUGUGGUACAUAAGAAACCCGCUACAAGAACAUGGAUAAAAGCAGGAAUCUCUCGUGCCAAGAUUCAUCAGCUGUUAUACAAAUAUGAUACAAAACACCAGCUGAGUGGCACCGGCUGCAUCAGCAAGCCUGGGAAAGAACUGAAAAAACGCACUAAAGAGUCAAGACAGACACCAGAAAGAGACCCAAGAAGACUUGGACGCAGGGUCAGAGGACAGCGAGGGAUGUUCAGAAAACACUCAGUCCGGCUCUCCUCGUUGGUGUUGGUCCACUGUGUCUUCUUGUCCAGCUGCUGCCUGCAGGGCCGGACAGUGGGGACCACCUCCAUCUGGCAUGACACCUUCUUCAGGGCACUCACAGAGGCCGGGAGGAGGUUUUUGGCCUUGGCCACAAUAAUCUCAACAGACAUAGGGUCAAACCAUUGAGAUGUGACACACACACACACAUUUAAAAGAUGCCUACCAGUCGAUGGUCCUUCAGUGGUCCUUGUGGUUCCUUUGGAGGCUCUGGACUGUCCUCAGUAGAGGCAUAUUGCCACCAUCAAGAUGUGUGUCAGAGAACAAGAGUUACUCAAAAAUGUGUGUGUGUGGGAGGGGGAGGAGAUAGACAGGUCAUCAUCCUCGUCCAUAUCCCUCACUUCAAACUUUGUCACCUUUCCAUCCUCAACUUUCAGCGGUGGUGUCCUCCUUUCAUGAUCCUGAUCAUCACACUGUGUAUCAGAGUCAACUAGUCAGAGACCAUCCUCCUCACAGUGGUCACUCAACAAAGACAUGGACGAUAGGGUACAACUCUUUUACCUCCGAUUCACAGCCAGUGAAGGUGUAGAUCGAAAAGUCAUCCGAACUGGAGGAUGAGAUCACGUCAUCAUUUUUUCUCUCUAUCAGCCGAGUCACCCUUCCAGACUGAGGAGACAGAGAAAGGCAUGUACUCAUGGCAGCCAUAGAAUACACUGGCAUUGACCCUCAAGGAAAUGUAGAAUACGUAGGCAAUCCAACAUGGUUGUACAAGUAGUGAGCAAUACAUGGGUAACUGAAAAUGCAAUAAAUGCAACUCCCAUAACAUUAGGGGUGGGGCUAAAGACCUUCCAUAGUAUAGGAUUCUUUAGCAUCUCAAAUGGAUGAUUGUCAAUUCAACCAAGCCAACCAAAAUGGCCAUAUGAAUCAACAGUUUGAUUUACAGUAUCUGUUGUGUCUCUAUGGGAACAGCAGAGAUGUCUGACCUGGCUGAGAGGCUCUGGAUUGAUGUUCCAUCUGUCCCUAGAUGUCUGGUCUUGCCCACAGCUCACGAUGAUUGGCUGUAAACCGUAAAGAAUGAAUUCAACACUGCUUUGCUCAUUGCAGAAUGCAUAACUAAUGUGCAUGUGUUACUGAUUUCAGUUUGAAAUGACUUACAGGCUUUGUUCUUCUGUGCACCUUGCCGAUGGCCACAUCACAGAAUCGGGUGUGUUAACCCUCAUUGGAUUCAUCCGUCAACACAUCACUCAAUUUAAAAGGUGAUAAUAUAACAAAAACAGGAUAAAACAAAUGUGCAUUUUAUAUUUACCAAAUAAGGGUGGCAUCUUAACGCUCUUUUGAUUCUCUCAUUAUUACGAUCCAUAGCUUUCUGAGGGAAAUAUUUCCAUCUAUUUGGAUAUGUAUAUAUACACAGCUCUGGAAAAAAUUAAGAGACCACUGCAAAAUGAUCAGUUUCUCUGGUUUUACUAUUUAUAUGUAUGUGUUUGGGUAAACUGAACAUUUUUGUUUUAUUCUAUAAACUGCUGACAACAUUUCUCCCAAAUUCCAAAUAAAAAAUAUUGUCAUUUAGAGCAUUUAUUUGCAGCUAAUGACAACAGGUCAAAAUAACAAAAAGAUGCAGUGUUGUCAGACCUCGAAUAAUACUAAUACUUUAACUUAGGAAGUGUUCUGAAAUCAAUAUUUGGUGGAAUAACACUGAUUUUCAAUCACAGCUUUCAUGCGUCUUGGCAUGCUCUCCACCAGUCUUUCACAUUGAUGUUGGGUGGCAUUUUGCCAUCCUGGCCUCAAAAUUCAAGCAGCUCGGCUUUGUUUGAUGGCUUGUGACCAUCCAUCUUCCUCUUGAUCACAUUCCAGAAGUGUAUAUGUGGUACCCUGUAAAUAUUAUACAGGUUGGGAAGGCUGUGCACCAAAAGGCCAAAGAUUACCUGCAACAACCUGAAUGAAGAAAGAGAUUGUACAGAUUAAAUCAAAUCUGAACACAGUUUAUGAAGUAAAUUAAUGUUUGAUUAUGUCAUAAUACGUCACAGCUUAAUGACUGCGCAUAAUACAUUGCAAGAAAAAGGCUUGUUUGGAGCCUAACUGGUGGUAUUGCCUUCUCACUGGUUGUAGCUAGCUGAAUAACGAAAGUGAUGUGCAUAUAUCCUAUUCACUUGUAUCGAUGGUUGGACGUUUUACAUAGAUAGGCCAACAGGAUAUCAAUAGAAAGAAACCAUUCCUUGGCCCAAUUUUUUUUUGCACUUUAAGUAACGAGCAUUAAGGGACGACAAUGGAAUCCGUUGACUUUAUUGUGUUGUCCCUGACAUGUUUUAUUUUAUUAAACUGUUUUAUUAUUUUACUAAACUGUGAAAUAUAUAUCUCGCUUUCUAUCUAACUCAAAUGGGCUGUUGAGACUUCUGACCAUCACAUUUCAGGCACAAGCCAGCAGGUGGCAGUGUCUUUAAAUGCAGCACUGCCUUAGUGCACUUCAUGAUCUGCGCAUCAAAUAACUUUGGUUGUGAACGUGAUUAAUUAAAAUUAAUUAAAAGAACGUGAUUAAUCCAAAUGCGGAAGUCUAUUACAUUUGCUUUGGUUUAGCAAUCUAUCUACCUCCUCCCUGUCUUAGCUAAAGUGUUGUGCAAUAUUGGAGGACAGGUGUCGUAACUGACAUUUUUGUAUUGUGCUUGAUUAUCCACUGGUAUUAGUUUGACAUAUGUACUGAGCAUCAAAAAUCCGUUUUGAAAGAUGUGGUGGAAGAAUUUGGGGUGAGCUGUUGUAACUUCUCAAGGGAUAUGUUCUAUGUUGGACUGUGAUGUUAGGCGUUUCAUAGACUACUGGUAUGUCUGCAUCCUAACACAAGGCCAUUGUGUCCCGGAACUAUUGAUUUAUAGAAAUAACUGUUGUGUAAACAAUAUGAUUGUAUUAUCACCUCCCACUUUAAGGGACAUUUAACCAUUUCUUCCUUGCUGUGAAAUUAUUGGUGGCUGCUUGUAUUAAAUAUGUUUUUUUUUAUAUUGUAAAAUAUAGGAUUAUCACCACAGCAAGCAAGGUAUUUGGAGUCAAACAGGCAGGCCUGGAUGACAUCUUUUAGGUCAGGGCCCUCCGCAAGUCUCACAAAAUCAUUUUAGACCCAAGCCACCCCCUGUACCUGGACUUUGAACUACUCCCCUCUGGGCACAGGUAUAGGGCACCCCUCAGCAAGAAAAACAGAACUAGACAAUCAUUUGUGCCAGGUGUGAUAUCCCUCCUAAAUAGCUCGGGCUGAUGUUCCUAUUGAAUCAGUAAGGCCAGCAGGCUAAUCAUUUUUUUAUUAAUGUUUAAUUGGUAUGUUAACUGUUAUGAAAGUUGUAUUGUAAAACUUUUUAUUUAAACGCCACUUUAAAUGUCUACAAGACACUGCAACAACAUUUCCCCAUGGGGACAAUAAAGUCAUUAAGUAAA